rnacentral:tRNA from 1 species
GUUGACAUAGUUUAAUAAAAACAUUAGGUUGUGGACCUAACAACAGAAGUUUAACCCUUCUUGUUGA